AAAGUAUAUCCAAACGUCAUUGGAGGAUGAUUUCAAAACAGUUGUAGGAGUAAGUCAUGUCUUGUGGGCGUCAUUUGUGAUCUUCUUGCUCCUGAAUAUUAAUGAUAAUCUUGGUGGUUGGAACAGAGCUUCAAGUUAUUAUGAAAAAAAUGGCUAUGGAAAUCACCCAAAGACAUUGCAGACGGCAAAGGAGAAUUUUGAGUUAGCCCUGAAGGUUGACAAUUCAAAUAAACAAGCUAGA